GCCUUCGUGGUGUAACGGUUAGCACAUUUGGCUCAUAUUUGAGAGGUCGAGGUUCGAGUCCUGGUGACGGCA
rnacentral:tRNA from 1 species